AUGUAUGUAAGCGUAUUACCGGUGGAGUUCUUAUAUUUAAUUAAGUACUUGUACUUUUUUAAAUAUUCCUCCUAUUUAAAAACCUGCAUUAGUGCUCUUCAUCGAGUGUUAUUGUGGGCCGGUACAAUUACUUUGAACAAAUUAGAGUGCUUAAAGCAGGUUUCAAAUGCCUGAAUAUUCUGUGCAUGGGAUAAUGAAAUAAGACCUCUGUUCUGCUUUCAUUGGUUUUCAGAUCAAGAGGUAAUGAUUAAUAGAAGCAGUUUGGGGGCAUUAGUAUUACGACGCGAGAGGUAAAUUUCUUGACCCCCCUAAAACAUAAUUAAACGCAAGCGCUUUGCCAAGAAGUGUUCUCUAUAACCCAAACACAAAAUUUAGAGUUCUCAAAGCGAAAUCAUAUCGCGCCUAGGUAAGCCUACUUUUAGGGCCUCCUCUCCAGUCGCCCUCUCCGGGGAAAACCCAAAG
rnacentral:ncRNA from 1 species